CACAGUGCAAUACUCCAACUUCCUCAAGUGAAUCCAUGCAAGUUUCAUAUUUCUCUAUCCCAAGGUCAUCAAGUACAUUGCCACAAGGAUCAUCUUUCUUAGAACCAUUUUUAGUAGACAAAUCCGUACAAGUUUCCUCAUAUUCAGAUCUAAGUUCAGGGGGAGAAGUGACAGAAUUUCCUUCUUCUUCCAGCAUGAGUUCAGUCAGCGAAUCCACAAAAUGUGUGUCUACCUCCAGCUCAGAAGAUUCCAUUGCUUCCAAAAUAGCAGCAAUGAGCAUAUCUGUGCAAUUUCCUUCUAUCUCAGGCAUAGCUACACCAACAGUAGCCACAGAAAAUCAAUCCAUAGAAGAUGCCACACCUUCAGACCUCUUUGCACUGACCAAAUCUAUACAAUUUCCUUCUGUCUCAUACUCAGCUACAUCAACAGAAGCAACAGAAAGUCAAUCCAUGGAAGACACCAUACUUUCAGACCUCUUUGCACUGACCAAAUCUGCGCAAUUUCCUUCUGUCUCAUGUACGACUACAUCAACAGAAGAAAUAGAUGCCAUACCUUCAGACCUCUUUGCAUUGACCAAAUCUGCGCAAUUUCCUUCUGUCUCAUGCACGACUACAUCAACAGAAGUCAUAGAUGCCACGCCUUCAGACCUCUUAGCACUGACCAAAUCUAUGCAAUUUCCUUCUGUCUCAAGCAUGGCUACCUCAACAGAAGUACCAGGAACUCCUCCUCCAUCCAAUUUCAGUUCAGUGACUCAAUCUAUGGAAGAUGCCACACCCUCAGGCCCACUUUUGCUCACCAAAUCUGUGCAAUUUCCUUCUAUCUCAGGCCCAGCUAUCUCAACAGAAGUCUCAGGAAAUUCUCCUCCAUCUAAUUUAAGUUCAAUGAUUCAAUCUAUGGAAGAAGUAAUGCCUUCAGGCCCACUGGCCCUGAACAAAUCUGUGCAGUUUCCCUCUUUCUCAGGCCCAAAUGCACCAAUAGCUGUCACUGAACUUCCUUCUUUCUCUGCACUAAGCUCAUCAAGGGAAUCCACAAGCGUUCCUUAUGUUGAGAGAUUUUUUGCAAAUAAAGCUAUUCAAAUUCCCUCUGUAUGUGAAAUAAUUUUAGUGAAUGACUCUGCAGAAGUUCUGUCUGCCUUCAGCCCAAGUCAAUCAGGAGAAUUUGUACAAGAAUCAACUGCAUCUAGAACAAUUUCAGGAGGCAAAUCAUUGCAAGUUCCUUCUUCUGCUGGUAUAAUUUCUUCAAGUAAAUCUACAAAAUUUUCUUCCUCCGAUGGAAUUUCAGUGACAAAAUCUACACAAGUUCCUUCAUUUGACUCAACAUCAAGUGAAUGCAAAGAAGUUCAAUCUUUCUCAGUUCCACUUUCAUUAGACAAAUCCACACAAGUUCCUGAUUUCUCUGAUACAAGGUCAUCAAAAGAAACCAUACAUUUUCUCUCAACCUACCAUGCCAUUGCCACAAACAAAUUGAUACAAGUUCCUUCCUUCUCUGAUGUGAAUUCAUCUACUAAAUGCAAAGAAGAAGUUAUAUCUUUUCCAGGUCCAUUUUCAUCAAGAGAAUCCACACAAUGUCCCUCAGAUUUUGUUGCUAUUUCAGGCAUCAGGUCUAUUAAGUUUACUUCACUUUCUGAUCUAAGUCCAUCAGAUACAGGCAAACAAGUGCUACCACCUUUCCAAGUUCCAGUUUCAUCAAAAGAAUCUAGAAAUGUUUCUACUUUCUCUGAAACUAAUUCACCAAUAGAAGCUGCAAAAGUUCCCCCUACUUGUGGUGCCCUUAUAGUUGCCAAGCGCACACAAAUUCCUUUUAUUUCUGACUUACACUCAUCAACGAUAGGAAGAGAAAAAUUUAUGUCUUUCACAGGUCCACUCUUACCAAAGAAACCAUUAGAACUUAACUCAAAUUUUGCUGCUAUUUCACUCAGCAAACAGACACAAAUUCCUUCCAUCUCUGACCCAAGUUCAUUAAAUGUGAGGAUGGAAAACCUUCGAUCUUUCUUGCUUACAAUUUGCCCAAUAGAAUCCAGGCAGUUUUCUGAUUUCUCUGACUCAUGUUUAGUAAGAGGAGAUAUACAAAUGCCUUCCAUCCAUAGCCCUCUUUCAGUGAGCAAAUGCAUACAACUUUCUUACUCGUCUGAUAAUAGUUUGCCAACAGAAACUUUACAAGUUCCCUCUACCCACCUUGCUAUCAGAGUGAGCAAAUCAACACAACCUACUUCCUUCUCUCAUGCAAGUUCAUCAACUGCAUGCAUACAAAAAAUUCUUUCUUCUCGAUAUCCUCUUUCAUCAAGGGAAUCCAUUCAAAAUCCCUCAAACUUUGGUGUUAUUUCAGUCAGCAAGUUCACAAAAUUUCCUUCUUCCUCUGUCCUAAAUUUGUUGAAUGUGAACACAGAAAUGCCAUCUUUCUUGCUUCCAUUUUUUCCAAAAGAAUCCAGGCACUUUUCUGAUUUCUCUGAUACAAGUUUACCAAGAGAAAACACACAAAUUCCCUCUAUCCUUAGACCUAUUUCAGUGAUCAAACACACACAAUUAUCUCACUCCUCUAAUAAAAGUUUACCAACAGACACUUUACAAGUUCCCUCUACCCACCUGACUAUCACAGUGAGCAGAUCACCACAACCUACUUCCUUCUUUGAUGCAUGUUCAUCAAAUGUAUGCACAGAAAAAGUUCUUUCAUUCCCAGGCCCACUGAAAUCAAGGGAAUCCAUCCAACAUCCCUCAAAUCUUGGUGUUAUUUCAGUCAACAAAUUUAUCCAACUUUCUUCUCCCUCUGCCCCAAGUUCAUUGAACAUGAAGACAAAAGAAAUUCCAUCUUUAUUGUUUCCAUUUUGUCUAAUACAAUCCAAGCAGUUUUCUGAUUUCUCUGAUACAAGUUUACCAAGAGAAAACACACAAAUUCCCUCUAUCCUUAGACCUAUUUCAGUGAUCAAAUGCAUACAAUUUUUUCACUCUUCUGACAAAAGUCUUUCAAUAGAAACUUUACAAGUUCCCACCACCCACCUUGCUAUCACAGAGAGCAAACCAACGCAACCUGUUUCCUUGCUUGAUGCAAGUUCAUCAGCUGUAGGCAUAGAACGAGCUAUGACUUUGCCAGGUCCACUGAAAUCAAGAGAAUCCAUCCAACGUCCCCCCAACCUUGGUCUUAUUUCAGCCAACAAGUCCUCCCAAUUUCAUUCUCCCUCUGUCCCAAGUUCACUGAAUGUAAACACAGAAGUUCCAUCUUUCUUGCUUCCAUUUUGUCCAACAGAAUCCAGGCAGUUUACUGAUUUCUCUGACACAAGUCUACCAAAGGAAGACACACAAAGCCCUUCUAUCCUUGGACUUAUUUCUGUGAGCAAAUGCACACAAUUGUCUCACUCCUCUGACAAAAGUUUACCAACAGAAACUUUACAAGAUCCCCCCACCGACCUGGCUGUCACAGAGAGCAAAUCAACACAAUCUACUUCCUUGUUUGAUGCAAGUUCAUCAGCUACAGAUAUGGAACAAGCUAUGUCUUUGCCAGGUCCACUGAAAUCAAGGGAAUCCAUUGAAUAUCCCUCCAACCUUGGUCUUAUUUCAGUCAACAAGUCCACCCAAUUUCCUUUUCCCUCCAUUCCAAGUUCAAUGAAUGUGAACAAAGAAGAAGUCCCGCCUUUCUUGCUUCCAUUGUGUCCAACAGAAUCCAGGCAGUUUUCUGAUUCAUCUGAUACAAGUCUACCAAGAGAAGACACACAAAACCCUUCUAUCCUUGGACCUAUUUCAGUGAGCAAAGGUGCACAACUUUCUCACUCCUCUGACAAAAUUUUGCUAACAGAAACUUCACAAGUCCCCUCCACCCACCUCGAUGUCACAGAGAGCAAAUCAACACAAUCCAUUUAUUUCUUUGAUGCAAGUUUAUCAUCUGUAGACACAGAAGUUAUUUCUUUUCUGGAUCCACUGAAAUCAAAGGAAUCCAUUCAACAUCUCUCCAGCCUUGGUCUUACUUCGGUCAACAAGUCUACCCAAUUUCCUUUUCCCUCUGUUCCAAGUUCACUGAAUGUGAAAAUAGAAGAAGUUCCAUCUUUCUUGCUUCCAUUUUGUCCAACAGAAUCCAGGCAGUUUUCUGAUUUCUCUGACACAAGUCUACCAGACGAAGACACACAAAGUCCUUCUAUCCUUGGANNNNNNNNNNAAGAAAUCAUGUCUUUCCGGAGUCCACUGAAAUCAGGGGAAUCCAUCUAAUAUCCCUCCAACCUUGGUCUUAUUUUAGUCAACAAGUCCAUCCAAUUUCCUUCUUCCUCUGCUCCAAGUUCAUUGAAUGUGAACACAGAAGAAGUUCCAUCUGCCUUGCUUCCAUUUUGUCCAACAGAAUCCAGGCAGUUUUCUGAUUUGCCUGACACAGGUCUACCAAAAGAAGACACACAAAGCCCUUCUAUCCUUGGACCUAUUUCAGUGAGCAAAUGCACACAAUCGUCUCACUCCUUUGACAAAAGUUUGCCAACAGAAACUUUACAAGUGCCCUCCACCUACAUGGCUGAGUC
rnacentral:lncRNA from 1 species